rnacentral:ncRNA from 1 species
CACUGCCCGUCACAUUAUGGGAGCUAGUCAUAUUUGAAAUCGUUACCUUAACCGUAAGGAGAGGAAUGUCAAAUAUAGAGCUAAUAAUUGGAGUGAAGUCAUAACAAGGUAGCCGUAUUAGAAGGUGCGAUUG